AGUCACUGACAUUAGAUACCCGCGUAGUCCAGGGUGUAAACGCUGCAGACUUGGUGUUGGGGGCCCUUUGGGGGGCAUUCAGUGCCGGAGAGAAGUUGUUAAGUCUGCUACUUGGGGAGUACGUCCGCAAGGAUGAAACUUAAAGGAAUUGGCGGGGGAGCACCGCAACGGGAGGAGCGUGCGGUUUAAUUGGAUUCAACACCGUAAACUCACCAGGGAAGACUGUUACAUGAAGGCCGAGAUGAAGACUCUGCUAGAUUUUCAG
rnacentral:rRNA from 1 species